rnacentral:rRNA from 1 species
CAUCCAGACUCCUACGGGAGGCAGUAGUGGGGAAUAUUGGACAAUGGGGGGAACCCUGAUCCAGCGACGCCGCGUGAGUGAAGAAGUCUUUCGGUAUGUAAAGCUCUAUCAGCAGGGAAGAAAGAAAUGACGGUACCUGACUAAGAAGCCCCGGCUAACUACGUGCCAGCAGCCGCGGUAAUACGUAGGGGGCAAGCGUUAUCCGGAUUCACUGGGUGUAAAGGGAGCGUAGACGGCGACGCAAGUCUGGAGUGAAAGCCCGGGGCCCAACCCCGGGACUGCUCUGGAAACUGCGGCGCUGGAGUACGGGAGGGGCAGGCGGAAUUCCUGGUGCAGCGGUGAAAUGCGUAGAUAUCAGGAGGAACACCGGUGGCGAAGGCGGCCUGCUGGACUGCGACUGACGUUGAGGCCCGAAAGCGUGGGGAGCAAACAGGAUUAGAUACCCGAGUA